GACGAACGCUGGCGGCGUGCUUAACACAUGCAAGUCGAACGGGCUCUGUCUGGCUGUGUGCUGGGUGGGGUUAGUGGCGAACGGGUGAGUAAUACGUGAGUAACCUGCCCUCUUCUUUGGGAUAAGCCUUGGAAACGGGGUCUAAUACUGGAUAUUCCUGUCUGGCCGCAUGGCUGGGUGGGGAAAGUUUUUUUCGGUGGGGGAUGGGCUCGCGGCCUAUCAGCUUGUUGGUGGGGUGAUGGCCUACCAAGGCGUCGACGGGUAGCCGGCCUGGGAGGGUGACCGGCCACACUGGGACUGAGAUACGGCCCAGACUCCUACGGGAGGCAGCAGUGGGGGAUAUUGCACAAUGGGCGCAAGCCUGAUGCAGCGACGCCGCGUGGGGGAUGACGGCUUUCGGGUUGUAAACCUCUUUCGUCGGGGGACAAGGCUCUGCUUGGUGGUGGGGUUGAGGGUACCCGGUGAAGAAGCGCCGGCUAACUACGUG
rnacentral:rRNA from 1 species